rnacentral:piRNA from 1 species
AGUUUUGUAAGGGGCAUGAAAUUCUG